UGGGUGCUAGUGCCUCUGCAGUAGGCAUCUAUCCUUCACAGAUAUUUUAGAAGGGCUAGCUGUAACUUGCCGAGAGCAAGUCUUUAGUGGAGUGUCUGUAGAAAGCUGCAACAAUACAAAGGAGCCAUAAUCAUGUCAGCUUUGCACGAAGACAUGGAGGUGUAGGGAAUGAUCCUUUCUACUCUGUUCAAUUGCCCACUUUGUUCCAGCAGUAAUGAGUGAGUCCUGCAAGGGGAAAUUCUUCAGCACACGGAUCAUUCUGGGAUAGAGAACUAUUGUGGCUGUAAGGUGUGCAUUACCUGAGUGACCCGCAAAUUUCUGGGUGGAAGUGAUGAAGCACUGCAAGCCUGUGAAAUGUGCUCAGGAGUUGAACUAAUUCAGCGUUGCUGUGAAUACACAGCUUUACAUGUCCUAACAGGCUUUUGCCACACUGUUGUCUGGGGCUCCCAUGGCUGGUACAAGUGAGGAAUUGGCAGAAGAUACUACACUGUGGAUGAAAAAGAAA